AUACGUAGGGAGCGAGCGUUGUCCGGAAUGAUUGGGCGUAAAGGGCGCGUAGGCGGCCUGUUAAGUCUGGAGUGAAAGUCCUGUUUUCAAGAUGGGAAUUGCUUUGGAUACUGAUGGGCUUGAGUGCAGGAGAGGUUAUCGGAAUUCCCGGUGUAGCGGUGAAAUGCGUAGAGAUCGGGAGGAUCACCAGUGGCGAAGGCGGGUAACUGGACUGCAACUUACGCUGAGGCGCGAAAGUGUGGGGAGCAAACAGGAUUAGAUACCCUGGUAGUCCACACUGUAAACGAUGAAUGCUAGGUGUAAGAGGUAUCGACCCCUUUUGUGCCGGAGUUAACACAAUAAGCAUUCCGCCUGGGGAGUACGGCCGCAAGGUUGAAACUCAAAGGAAUUGGCGGGG
rnacentral:rRNA from 1 species